rnacentral:rRNA from 1 species
UACGGAAGGUGCAAGCGUUGUUCGGAUUGACUGGGCGUAAAGCGCACGUAGGCGGGUUCAUAAGUCGGAUGUGAAAUCCCCGGGCUUAACCUGGGACCUGCACUCGAUACUGUGAAUCUUGAAUGCUCGAGAGGUUGGUGGAAUUCCAGGUGUAGGAGUGAAAUCCGUAGAUAUCUGGAGGAAGACCGGAGGCGAAGGCGGCCGACUGGCGAUGCAUUGACGCUGAGGUGCGAAAGCGUGGGGAGCAAACAGG